GGUUUAAAAAUAAUAUCAGGAAGUAUUACUUUACUGAGAGGGUAGUGGAUGCAUGGAAUAGCCUUCCAGCUGAAGUGGUAGAGGUUAACACAGUAAAGGAGUUUAAGCAUGCAUGGGAUAGGCAUAAGGCUAUCCUUAACUAUAAGAUAAGGCUAGGGACUAAUGAAAGUUUUUAGAAAAUUGGGCAGACUAGAUGGGCCGAAUGGUUCUUAUCUGCCGUCACAUUCUAUGUUUCUAUGUUUCUAUAACGAAUGCAGUAAUAUAUGGUCCAGUUUUCUGAAUUCAGAGGAAUUUGAACUCGUACCUUUCAAUGGUUCCAUCAACUAUUCCCAGAAGAAGGAGCAACAUGAAAAUAAUGUGCAAGCCCUCCCAGCAGUGUGUGACAGCAAUGCAUUAUGGAAUUUAACAGCCAGUUUCCAGAACACUUUAUAUUAAAUAUCCCCCGUUACCCGUGAGCCAAUGAAAUGUGACUGGUGGCCAUAGCAAUCACAGAGCAAUCAGGUCAAAAACGCUCGAGCAAGCUGUGCUUUUUCACAUUGCCCAAAGUGAUUGCGGCAUGAGUGCGUCCUGAGAAGUUCUAGUAUUGGAGCUGGAAGAUGUCAGAGUAACAGAAACCACAGUCCUAUUAAAUACAAAAAGAAAAGUCCUGCGCUCACUCCCAUCACUCCUGGGCGGCAGCAACGACCACAGUACACAUCAGCUCCAAUACAUAUAGUAAAAACCAAAGAAAAAGUUACCUGCGCUCUCCUAAAUGCCUAUGUAUAAUUAAACAAAUGGAGGUCAUUUACUUACUCCAAUGGCGAUUGGAAGGAAUGUCGCCUGCCAACGUCAAGGCAGACCCGCAGUGUCAGUGUUAACCCGCAUAGGGGGGUCUGCCUUGACGUUGGCAGGCGGGCAUUCCCUC